AAACUUUCAACAACGGAUCUCUUGGUUCUCGCAUCGAUGAAGAACGCAGCGAAAUGCGAUAAGUAGUGUGAAUUGCAGAAUUCAGUGAAUCAUCGAAUCUUUGAACGCACAUUGCGCCCUCUGGUAUUCCGGAGGGCAUGCCUGUUCGAGCGUCAU
rnacentral:rRNA from 1 species